AGAGUUUGAUCCUGGCUCAGGAUGAACGCUGACAGAAUGCUUAACACAUGCAAGUCUAUGAGAAGAUCUACUUCGGUAGAAGGUAUCAUGGCGGACGGGUGAGUAACGCGUAAAGAACUUGCCUCUUAGACUGGGAUAACAGAUGGAAACGUCUGAUAAGACUAGAUAUAAUAGCGACAUGGCAUCAUGUUGUUAUGAAAGGUAACACUAAGAGAGAGCUUUGCGUCCUAUUAGUUAGUUGGUGAGGUAAUGGCUCACCAAGACGAUGAUAGGUAGCCGGCCUGAGAGGGUGAACGGCCACAAGGGGACUGAGAUACGGCCCUUACUCUUACGGGAGGCAGCAGUGGGGAAUGUUGGACCAUGGAGGAAACUCUGAUCCAGCAAUUCUGUGUGCACGAUGAAGGUUUUCGGAUCGUAAAGUGCUUUCAGUAGGGAAGAAGAAAGUGACGGUACCUACAGAAGAAGCGACGGCUAAAUACGUGCCAGCAGCCGCGGUAAUACGUAUGUCGCAAGCGUUAUCCGGAAUUAUUGGGCGUAAAGGGCAUCUAGGCGGUCAAUCAAGUCGAAGGUGAAAACUUGUGGCUCAACCAUAAGCUUGCCUACGAAACUGAUUAACUAGAGUACUGGAGAGGUGGACGGAACUACACGAGUAGAGGUGAAAUUCGUAGAUAUGUGUAGGAAUGCCGAUGAUGAAGAUAGUUCACUGGACAGAAACUGACGCUGAAGUGCGAAAGCUAGGGGAGCAAACAGGAUUAGAUACCCUGGUAGUCCUAGCUGUAAACGAUGAUCACUGGGUGUGGGCAGGAAGACUGUCUGUGCCGAAGCUAACGCGAUAAGUGAUCCGCCUGGGGAGUACGACCGCAAGGUUGAAACUCAAAGGAAUUGACGGGGACC
rnacentral:rRNA from 1 species